rnacentral:rRNA from 1 species
AACUUUCAACAACGGAUCUCUUGGCUCUCGCAUCGAUGAAGAACGCAGCGAAAUGCGAUAAGUAAUGUGAAUUGCAGAUUUUCAGUGGAUCAUCGAAUCUUUGAACGCA